CACCGCCUGGGGAGUACGACCGCAAGGUUAAAACUCAAAUGAAUUGACGGGGACCCGCACAAGUAGUGGAGCAUGUGGUUUAAUUCGAAGAUACGCGCAGAACCUUACCAACACUUGACAUGUUCGUCGCGACUCUAAGAGAUUAGAGUUUUCGGUUCGGCCGGACGAAACACAGGUGCUGCAUGGCUGUCGUCAGCUCGUGUCGUGAGAUGUUGGGUUAAGUCCCGCAACAAGCGCAACCCUUACUUUUAGUUGCUACCAUUUAGUUGGGCACUCUAAAAGAACUGCCGGUGAUAAGCUGGAGGAAGGUGGGGAUGACGUCAAGUCCUCAUGGCCCUUACGUGUUGGGCUACACACGUGCUACAAUGGUAUUUACAGUGGGAUGCAAAGAGGCAACUCCAAGCCAACCCUCAAAAGAUACCUCAGUUCGGAUUGUACUCUGCAACUCGAGUACAUGAAGCUGGAAUUACUAGUAAUCGCGGAUCAGCGCGCCGCGGUGAAUACGUUCCCGGGUCUUGUACACACCGCCCGUCACACCAUGGAAGUUGGUUACACCUUAAGGCAAAGUGUAAAAUCUUUGACUACGGUACGAUCAGCGACUGGGGUGAAGUCGUAACAAGGUAGCCGUAGGGGAACCUGCGGCUGGAUCACCUCCUUUCUAAGGAAAUCGAAAAAUAUUAAAACAAUUAUUUUCGAUUUAAAAAAAUCGGUAAUGUGACCGUCCUCAUUUCUCUUCUUUUAAUGUCUCUGAGUAAGUGUAAGUAAGGGGCCGGUAGCUCAGGUGGUUAGAGCGCACCCCUGAUAAGGGUGAGGUCGGAAGUUCGAGUCUUCCUCGGCCCACCAAUAUUACGGGGGAUUAGCUCAGCUGGGAGAGCGCCUGAUUUGCAUUCAGGAGGUCAGCGGUUCGAUCCCGCUAUCCUCCACCAAAAUUUGAGACAUUUAGCUUUUUUAAAUUGUAAAUAAUUUUAUUAUCAAUAUCUAUAUCCGAUUGUUUUCAGAUAUUUUUUUGAAAACAAUCAAAACAAAAAUUUGAAUUUUACACAGAAAGUUUUUUUCUG
rnacentral:sRNA from 1 species